GGCAGUAUAGCGUAGUGGCAAGGAGUAGGGCUUGUAACCAAAGGGUCGCUGGUUCAAUUCCCCACUGCGA